rnacentral:rRNA from 1 species
AAUGAGCGCUGGCGGCAGGCCUAACACAUGCAAGUCGAACGGAUCCUUCGGGAUUAGUGGCGGACGGGUGAGUAACGCGUGGGAACAUACCCAAAGGUACGGAAUAGCCUCGGGAAACUGGGAGUAAUACCGUAUGUGCUCGAAAGAGGAAAGAUUUAUCGCCUUUGGAUUGGCCCGCGUUGGAUUAGGUAGUUGGUGGGGUAAUGGCCUACCAAGCCGACGGUCCAUAGCUGGUUUGAGAGGAUGAUCAGCCACACUGGGACUGAGACACGGCCCAGACUCCUACGGGAGGCAGCAGUGGGGAAUCUUAGACAAUGGGGGAAACCUUGAUCUAGCCAUGCCGCGUGAUCGAUGAAGGCCUUAGGGUUGUAAAGAUCUUUCAGGUGGGAAGAUAAUGACUGUACCACCAGAAGAAGCCCCGGCUAACUCCGUGCCAGCCGCCGCGGUAA